rfam:Pteropus alecto contig169302, whole genome shotgun sequence.
GUCUACGGCCAUGCCACCCUGAACAAGGCUGAUGUCUGAUCUCAGAAGCUAAGCAGGGUCGAGCCUGGUUAGUACUUGGAUGGGAGACCACCUAGGAAGACCAGGUGCUGUAGGCA